rnacentral:rRNA from 1 species
GACGAACGCUGGCGGUGUGCUUAACACAUGCAAGUGGUGCGACGAACCAGAGCUUGCUCUGGGGCAAAGCCGCGAACGGGUGAGUAACACGUGGGUAAUCUACCCCGAUGACCGGGACAACCCGAGGAAACUCGGGCUAAUACCGGAUGUGGUGCGGAGACAUAAGUCUCUUCACUAAAGGUAGCUUCGGCUUCCGCAUUGGGAGGGGCCCGCGGCCCAUUAGCUUGUUGGUGGGGUCAAGGCCUACCAAGGCAACGAUGGGUAGCUGGUCUGAGAGGACGAUCAGCCACACUGGGACUGAGACACGGCCCAGGCUCCUACGGGAGGCAGCAGUGGGGAAUCUUGCGCAAUGCGCGAAAGCGUGACGCAGCAACACCGCGUGAGGGAAGAAGGCCUUAGGGUUGUAAACCGCUUUCAGAUGGGACGAAGGUUCUCCGGUGAAUAGCCGAGAGGAUUGACGGUACCGUCAGAAGAAGCUCCGGCUAACUACGU